GUUGCCCCCCGCGCUGUGCGCCCGCCUCGCUGCGGGGCCCGGGGCGGCGGAGCCACUGCCUGUAGAGCGGGAUCCCGCGGCUGGGGCCGCGCCCUUUCACUUCGUUGCGCGCCCCGUGCGCUUCCCGCGGGAGCACCAGUUCUUCGAGGAUGGGGACGUGCAGCGCCACCUCUACCUCCAGGACGUGAUCAUGCAGGUGGCCGACGUGCCUGAGAAGCCCAGGGUGCCCGCGUUUGCCUGCCAGGUGGCCGGCUGCUGCCAGGUGUUCGAUGCCCUGGACGACUACGAGCACCACUACCACACGCUGCACGGAAAUGUUUGCUCCUUUUGCAAGCGGGCCUUCCCUUCCGGACACCUGCUGGACGCCCACAUCCUGGAGUGGCACGAUUCGCUCUUCCAGAUCCUGUCUGAGAGGCAGGACAUGUAUCAGUGCUUGGUAGAAGGCUGCACAGAGAAGUUCAAGACCAGCAGAGACCGGAAGGAUCACAUGGUGAGGAUGCACCUGUACCCCGCGGACUUCCGGUUUGAUAAGCCAAAGAAAAGCAGAAGGUAGGGAGCCGCCAGGCUCAGCACGUGUCUGCUUUUGAUUUUAGGAAAAGGUUUCCAACUAGCCGGAAUGCAUGGACGGUCAGACUUAUUAAGCACUUGUGUGUCACCUAAUGGGGUGUUCACCUGCAGGUACCUGAAGCCCUGGCAACACAGCUACAGGUGGUUGUGCCAGCGGCCACCCUGCCGAAGGGAGGCUGGAGGGGAGCCCCUGGCUGCCCAGCUCUGUGCCGGUGGAGGCAGCAGAGGGGGUGUGGGAAU
rnacentral:sRNA from 1 species